rnacentral:rRNA from 1 species
AGCAGCCGCGGUAAUUCCAGCUCCAAUAGCGUAUAUUAAAGUUGUUGCGGUUAAAAAGCUCGUAGUUGAAUUUCGGGAUUAGUACGCUGGUCAUGCCUUUGGUAUGUGCUGGUGUUACUGGUUCCUACCUUCUGAAGAACCGUCAUGUCAUUAAUUUGGUGUGGCGGGGAAUCAGGACUGUUACUUUGAAAAAAUUAGAGUGUUUAAAGCAGGCUCGCGCUUGAAUACAUUAGCAUGGAAUAAUGAAAUAGGACGUUUGACCCUAUUUUGUUGGUUUCUAGGAUCGACGUAAUGAUUAAUAGGGAUAGUUGGGGGCAUUAGUAUUCAAUUGUCAGAGGUGAAAUUCUUGGAUUUAUUGAAGACUAACUACUGCGAAAGCAUUUGCCAAGGAUGUUUUCAUUAAUCAAGAACGAAAGUUAGGGGAUCGAAGACGAUCAGAUACCGUCGUAGUCUUAACCAUAAACUAUGCCGACUAGGGAUCGGAUGAUGUAUUUAUGACUCAUUCGGCGCCUUACGGGAA